rnacentral:rRNA from 1 species
UACGGGGGGGGCAAGCGUUGUUCGGAAUUACUGGGCGUAAAGGGUUUGUAGGUGGCCCGCUAAGUCACACGUGAAAUCCCUCAGCUUAACUGGGGAACUGCGUGUGAGACUGGCAGGCUCGAGGGCAGGAGAGGAACGCGGAAUUCCAGGUGUAGCGGUGAAAUGCGUAGAUAUCUGGAGGAACACCGGUGGCGAAGACGGCGUUCUGGACUGUCUCUGACACUGAAGAACGAAAGCCAGGGGAGCGAACGGG